GACGAACGCUGGCGGCGUGCCUAAUACAUGCAAGUGGGACGCAAGGAAACACACUGUGCUUGCACACCGUGUUUUCUUGAGUCGCGAACGGGUGAGUAACGCGUAGGUAACCUGCCUAUUAGCGGGGGAUAACUAUUGGAAACGAUAGCUAAUACCGCAUAAUAUUAAUUAUUGCAUGAUAAUUGAUUGAAAGAUGCAAGCGCAUCACUAGUAGAUGGACCUGCGUUGUAUUAGCUAGUUGGUAAGGUAAGAGCUUACCAAGGCGACGAUACAUAGCCGACCUGGGAGGGUGGUCGGCCACACUGGGACUGAGACACGGCCCAGACUCCUACGGGAGGCAGCAGUAGGGAAUCUUCGGCAAUGGACGAAAGUCUGACCGAGCAACGCCGCGUGAGUGAAGAAGGUUUUCGGAUCGUAAAGCUCUGUUGUAAGUCAAGAACGUGUGUGAGAGUGGAAAGUUCACACAGUGACGGUAGCUUACCAGAAAGGGACGGCUAACUACGUG
rnacentral:rRNA from 1 species